GAUGAACGCUGGCGGCGUGCCUAAUACAUGCAAGUCGAGCGAACGAACGAGAAUCUUGCUUCUCUUAUGUUAGCGGCGGGCGGGUGAGUAACACGUGGAUAACCUACAUUUAAGACUGGGAUAACUUAGGGAAACCGGAGCUAACACCGGAUAAUAUUUUGAAACGCAUGGUUCAACAGUGAUAGACGGUCUUGCUGUCACUUAUAGAUGGUUCCGCGCUGCAUUAGGUAGUUGGUAAGGUAACGGCUUACCAAGGCAACGAUGCAUAGCCGACCUGAGAGGGUGAUCGGCCACACUGGAACUGAGACACGGUCCAGACUCCUACGGGAGGCAGCAGUAGGGAAUCUUCCGCAAUGGGCGAAAGCCUGACGGAGCAACGCCGCGUGAGUGAUGAAGGUCUUCGGAUCGUAAAACUCUGUUAUUAGGGAAGAACAUAUGUGUAAGUAACUGUGCACAUCUUGACGGUACCUAAUCAGAAAGCCACGGCUAACUACGUG
rnacentral:rRNA from 1 species